rnacentral:lncRNA from 1 species
UUUGAGUUUAUUUUAGUCUUAUAAAAGUAAUAUGUAGAACAAUUAGUAAAUUCAUAUUUUCUUAUAAAUUCAAGUUGAUUGUAAUAUUUUUGUAUUCAGUUAUAUAUUUAUAAAAAUUUGAUGUCAAAACCUAAAUUCUUUAACUGCUACAUAUAAUUGCAGUUAAUUUAUUAGCACAAAGAGAUUUUGCAAACGUAAAUUUAACAUUAUUUUAUUGGAAAGCAAGAUAGUGUCGAAGAAGCUUUAAAUUACUUUAAUUUUGACACUAGAACUGUUUAGAAUGGUUGUCUGCAUGAGGGUAAAUUUUCUUCUUUGAAGAAUACCAAUAAUUUUUUAUUGAAAUAUA